rnacentral:ncRNA from 2 species
GAAGUGGGUGCAAAGCCCACACGGUCCCGCCACUGUAAGCGGUUACGCUGCGCAACACGGUCACUGGGCUCCAAUGCGCGAUGCGCGAACGAGGCCGGGAAGACGCGCAGGCACGUCCGCGAGUCAGGAAA